UACGUAGGGUGCAAGCGUUGUCCGGAAUUAUUGGGCGUAAAGAGCUCGUAGGCGGUCUGUCGCGUCGGCUGUGAAAACUCGGGGCUCAACUCCGAGCUUGCAGUCGAUACGGGCAGGCUAGAGUUCGGCAGGGGAGACUGGAAUUCCUGGUGUAGCGGUGAAAUGCGCAGAUAUCAGGAGGAACACCGAUGGCGAAGGCAGCUCGCUGGGACGGUACUGACGCUGAGACGCGAAAGCGUGGGGAGCAAACAGG
rnacentral:rRNA from 1 species